GAUCAUGGCUCAGAUUGAACGCUGGCGGCAGGCCUAACACAUGCAAGUCGAACGGUAACAGGAAGCAGCUUGCUGCUUUGCUGACGAGUGGCGGACGGGUGAGUAAUGUCUGGGAAACUGCCUGAUGAAGGGGGAUAACUACUGGAAACGGUAGCUAAUACCGCAUAACGUCGCAAGACCAAAGAGGGGGGACCUUCGGGCCGUCUUGCCAUCGGAUGUGCCCAGAUGGGAUUAGCUAGG
rnacentral:rRNA from 1 species